GGGGUUGUGGCUUAGUGGUAGAGCAUUUGCCUAGCACGUGAGAGGCCCUGGGUUUAAUCCUCAGCACCA
rnacentral:tRNA from 1 species